rnacentral:rRNA from 1 species
CCUACGGGAGGCAGCAGUGAGGAAUAUUGGUCAAUGGGCUUGCGCCUGAACCAGCCAAGUCGCGUGAAGGAAGACUGCCCUACGGGUUGUAAACCUCUUUUAUCAAGGAAUAAAGUGAGCCACGUGUACCUUUUUGUAUGUACUUUAUGAAUAAGGCUCGGCUAACUCCGUGCCAGCCGCCGCGGUAAUACGGAGGAUCCGAGCGUUAUCCGGAUUUAUUGGGGUUAACGGGGUCGUAGAUGGGUUGUUAAGUCCGUUGUGAAAGUUUGCGGCUCAACCGUAAAAUUGCAAUUGAUACUGGCAGUCUUGAGUACAGGUGAGGUAGGCGGAAUGCGUGGUGUAGCGGUGAAAUGCUUAGAUAUCACGAAGAACUCCGAUUGCGAAGGCAGCUUACUAAACUGCCACUGACAUUGAUGCUCGAAAGUGUGGGUAUCAAACAGGAUUAGAUACCCGAGUAGUC